rfam:Citrus clementina cultivar Clemenules unplaced genomic scaffold scaffold_1, whole genome shotgun sequence.
AAGGGUCAGUGAUGAUUUUUUCAGCAUAGUUCAUAUGAUUAAUCUGUGAUUAUUUAAACUUCUAGUCUUUCGCUCCUAUCUGAUGACCCUU